UACGUAGGGGGCAAGCGUUGUCCGGAUUUAUUGGGCGUAAAGAGCGUGUAGGCGGCCUUACAGGUCAGCUGUGAAAACUCGAGGCUCAACCUCGAGACGUCGGUUGAAACCGUAAGGCUAGAGUCCGGAAGAGGAGAGUGGAAUUCCCGGUGUAGCGGUGAAAUGCGCAGAUAUCGGGAAGAACACCCGUGGCGAAGGCGGCUCUCUGGGACGGUACUGACGCUGGGACGCGAAAGCGUGGGGAGCGAACAGG
rnacentral:rRNA from 1 species